rnacentral:tRNA from 1 species
GCCAGCGUAGCCUAACAUAAAGCAUAGCACUGAAGAUGCUAAGAUGAGUAUUAAAAACCUCCGCUCGCA